rnacentral:rRNA from 1 species
GACGAACGCUGGCGGCGUGCUUAACACAUGCAAGUCGAACGGAAAGGCCCUGCUUUUGUGGGGUGCUCGAGUGGCGAGCGGGUGAGUAACACGUGAGUAACCUGCCCUUGACUUUGGGAUAACUUCAGGAAACUGGGGCUACUACCGGAUAGGAGCUCCUGCUGCAUGGUGGGGGUUGGAAAGUUUCGGCGGUUGGGGAUGGACUCGCGGGUUAUCAGCUUGUUGGUGGGGUAGUGGCUUACCAAGGCUUUGACGGGUAGCCGGCCUGGGAGGGUGACCGGCCACAUUGGGACUGAGAUACGGCCCAGACUCCUACGGGAGGCAGCAGUGGGGAAUAUUGCACAAUGGGCGGAAGCCUGAUGCAGCAACGCCGCGUGCGGGAUGACGGCCUUCGGGUUGUAAACCGCUUUCGCCUGUGACGAAGCGUGAGUGACGGUAAUGGGUAAAGAAGCACCGGCUAACUACGUG